GGGGGAGCUUGUUGUCUCACCUCAAGCGGAAACUGAAAACUUUAAAGGGUUAAUCCAACCACCAUGAUGACUUCAGUAAUUUGAAGUGGUCAUGGUGUUAGGAGUCUGUAUGUGCAGCAUUUCAGCUUGGAAUACUGCACAUGUGGAGUUAUUUGUACUUGUGUGCCCAGGGCUAUUUGCACCACACUUGGCACACCAUCAACACACUGUGUUCUGGGCUGGCUAAUGUCAAUUCUGUACAUAUUUUACGUCUCAGACAACAGGCAUGAUAAUCUUCUCCUUGCACUUAGAGAAGCUAACUCUCCC